UCCUACGGGAGGCAGCAGUAGGGAAUCUUCCGCAAUGGACGAAAGUCUGACGGAGCAACGCCGCGUGAGUGAUGAAGGCUUUCGGGUCGUAAAACUUUGUUGUUAGGGAAGAACAAGUGCUAGUUGAAUAAGCUGGCACCUUGACGGUACCUAACCAGAAAGCCACGGCUAACUACGUGCCAGCAGCCGCGGUAAUACGUAGGUGGCAAGCGUUAUCCGGAAUUAUUGGGCGUAAAGCGCGCGCAGGUGGUUUCUUAAGUCUGAUGUGAAAGCCCACGGCUCAACCGUGGAGGGUCAUUGGAAACUGGGAGACUUGAGUGCAGAAGAGGAAAGUGGAAUUCCAUGUGUAGCGGUGAAAUGCGUAGAAAUAUGGAGGAACACCAGUGGCGAAGGCGACUUUCUGGUCUGUAACUGACACUGAGGCGCGAAAGCGUGGGGAGCAAACAGGAUUAGAUACCCUGGUAGUCCACGCCGUAAACGAUGAGUGCUAAGUGUUAGAGGGUUUCCGCCCUUUAGUGCUGAAGUUAACGCAUUAAGCACUCCGCCUGGGGAGUACGGCCGCAAGGCUGAAACUCAAAGGAAUUGACGG
rnacentral:rRNA from 1 species